UACGGGGGGGGCAAGCGUUGUUCGGAAUUACUGGGCGUAAAGGGCUCGUAGGCGGCCAACUAAGUCAGACGUGAAAUCCCUCGGCUUAACCGGGGAACUGCAUCUGAUACUGGAUGGCUUGAGUUCGGGAGAGGGAGUGCGGAAUUCCAGGUGUAGCGGUGAAAUGCGUAGAUAUCUGGAGGAACACCGGUGGCGAAGGCGGCAUCCUGGACCGACACUGACGCUGAGGAGCGAAAGCCAGGGGAGCAAACGGG
rnacentral:rRNA from 1 species